UGAAGAAAAUCUGAAGUGCAAGAUUACUGACUGACAUGGCACUGGGGUAAUAAUAUCACUGGCUGAAAUAUUUAGAAGAAAAAAUUAACAGCCCAAUUUCUUCCCCACUUUAAAAAAUAGGAAUUCCCUAUGCAAAUUCAUAAAACAGUCGAACUGCUCAAAUAUAACACUUUAUGAUAGCAUUAUAUGAAUGAGCCCUGUGUCCAUGCUGAAUCUCUAUUUGCUUGGAAGGAGACUGGAAGUUUGCACUACUAUAUUUAACACUUUCCAAUUACUAUUUCUGAAACAAGUCAAUUGUUGUCAUUAUAUUGUUCUUAAAAUAAUCCACGAUAUGGAUUAACUGCAUGGAAGUGAAAGUGAAAGCAACCUUGUGUAAAUUGCUUGCUCACGCUCCCAUGAAGCAAAGACUAGUAACACUAAGAUGUAAGUUAAUGUUAUGAUUAAGACACUCUAAUGAUAAAACUGGCCCAUUAUGUUUAAUUUGCUGAACAAAUUCAGUUUGAAUUAAUGGAUAAAGAGAGCCUUUCUAUUUUUACUCCGUCUGGCCACCGCAUGGAUUUCUCUUCUACAGCCUGUCAUAAAAAUGCAACAAAAAGGCUAUGCUACCGUAUCUUUAUUAUAAUGUUAUUUUUGUUCAAAUAAUGUCAAAGCUUAUGCAAUUAAAAAGGCUAUCCUGCCAAAACAUGCUUCAGGCAAGCCAAACAGGAAAUGUCAGGUCGUGUGAACAAGUCUUGAUGUUCCCGGUGCAAGCAGCAGUCUUGCAGAACAUCUCAAAACAAUGGUUCAUUUACGAUCAUCGUGGUCGUUUCUAAAGAAGAAAUUUCGCCCCCUUUUCUGAAAGUCAGACUGGAAUGAAAGCCGCAUCGAACGAGAAGCGGGAUUGUGGAGGGGGAACAGAAACAAAAAGGAGCCCAAACAGAAACUUUGGCCUUUUUGUUAUUUCUCCCAAUGGGUUUCCUCCAUAGGAGCCAACUCCGAUCUGUCUCCUCCGCUCUACCGCGGGGGCAUUUCGCGGGUUCGGGGCGAUUCUAUUUCAUGGCCCAGAAGCACGUUAGGAAGGCUAAACCCGAGACACGAAGCGGAUGUGGAGAGGCAGGCCGGGGGCCAAGCCGGCCUAGGUCCGCCGGGGGCAGGGGGGGGGUUGCCAUGCCUGUAAGCCUCCGGCCGAGGGGACCCGGGUUGUUGUGGCCGCCUGCGGAAUGCCCGGGCGCCUUUCAGCGGGGCGGUUGGGGCGGCCGACUGCGAGCUGCUUCCUGCCCAGCGCGAGCCUCCCACCUGAUCCGACAUGUCUCCCUCGCAGACGCAGCCGGCCCCUCCGCCACCCCCGGAGAAGCGCCUCGCCGAUCUCGCUCUCGGCGUCGCCAACACGGAGAGCACAACACACAGGCCGGGCGCGGGCAGGCGGGAUUUCCUCUGCGCCUGAGAUCACUUCCCGCUCUCCAGGCACAGCCCACCGAAGAAGCGCAGUGCAACUUUGCUCCGCCCCCGCCCAGGGACUCCGGGAACAGUUUUGCGCGAGUUCCAGAGCCGCUCGCAGCCCGGUCUUUGCAGCGUUCACGACAGUCGCAAUUUAGUUGCUCCGGCUUUGCGCACGGCCACCUAGGAGCAGUGGAGAGAACGGUAGCGGCUAUGCGGGCUUCGAUGAGGAACCAACUACCUACAUUUCAACCAUAA
ensembl:lncRNA